AUCGCGGGGGUCCCUGCAAUCUCCCUGCUGCACCAGAGGCUUGUGACGUCACGGUCAUGCCCCCUCCCAUAGACUUGCAUUGAGGGGGCGUGGCUGUAAUGUCAAAAGUGGGGCGUGAUUGUGAUGUCACGAGUCUCCACCCCGCAUCGCCAGUCAUCCGGCACGGAGCGAAGUUCUCUCCAUGCACCGGAUGUCUGGGGUGCCGCAGCCGAGAUCACAGGGGUCCCCAGCGGCGGGACCCCAGCGAUCAGACAUCUUAUCCCCUGUCCUUUGGAUAGGGGAUAAGAUGUCUAGGGGCGGAGUACCCCUUUAACAUCAGCACAAAAAGCGUGCCUCACCAAGAGCUUCAUGGUUUUCAAUGGCCGAGCAGCUGUAUGCUAGCCGUAUAUAAUCAAGCCCAAUGCCAUGCGUUGCAUGGAAUGGUAUAAUGCCCAACCCAACUGGACACUGGAGACGUAAUCUGUGGAGUAAUGGAUCACACUUCUCUAUCUGGCGUCUGAUGGAGGAGUCUAGGUUUGGAGACCAAACUCAGCAAGCGUGGGGAAUGGCAAGGCACAGGUCUCGUAAGCUUCAGUGAUGUCACGCCUGCUGGGGAACGCCCACUUUCUUCUGGCAGGAGCUCACACAAUGUGAACAGGGGGAAAGGUUCAGCAAACACACGUGGAGAAGCUUCUGUGCUGUCCCAGAGUCAAAAACUGAUCGCUCCAACAACACACAUGCAGGGUGCAAGAGCAGACAGAUGGGAGAAGGUACACGUGUGAGGUCUGGGCCGUGUCAUGACACACAGGUUGUUUGUAUGUAGCUCUCUGGUGAUAAAGUGGUGGAAGCCCAGAGA